UACAUCUUGGUGUAUGGUGCACGUCGGUUUUUGGUGCUGUGGGUAAUGGUUUGAUUCUGUUAGAUGUAA
rnacentral:tRNA from 1 species